UAGAAGAUAGUACAGUGGUAGUAUUGGAAGUUUUGAUCUUUCAGAUCUGAGUUCGAAUCUUGGUCUUCUAG
rnacentral:tRNA from 1 species